GCAGUCGAGCGGAGUGAUGGUGCUUGCCUAUCACUUAGCGGCGGACGGGUGAGUGAUGCUUAGGAAUCUGCCUAUUAGUGGGGGACAACAUUUCGAAAGGAAUGCUAAUACCGCAUACGUCCUACGGGAGAAAGCAGGGGAUCUUCGGACCUUGCGCUAAUAGAUGAGCCUAAGUCGGAUUAGCUAGUUGGUGGGGUAAAGGCCUACCAAGGCGACGAUCUGUAGCGGGUCUGAGAGGAUGAUCCGCCACACUGGGACUGAGACACGGCCCAGACUCCUACGGGAGGCAGCAGUGGGGAAUAUUGGACAAUGGGCGCAAGCCUGAUCCAGCCAUGCCGCGUGUGCGAAGAAGGCCUUAUGGUUGUAAAGCACUUUAAGCGAGGAGGAGGCUACUGAAGUUAAUACCUUCAGAUAGUGGACGUUACUCGCAGAAUAAGCACCGGCUAACUCUGUGCCAGCAGCCGCGGUAAUACAGAGGGUGCAAGCGUUAAUCGGAUUUACUGGGCGUAAAGCGCGCGUAGGCGGCUAAUUAAGUCAAAUGUGAAAUCCCCGAGCUUAACUUGGGAAUUGCAUUCGAUACUGGUUAGCUAGAGUG
rnacentral:rRNA from 1 species